UUCAGAUUGCAGGCUGCAACCCGCCUGCAUGAAGUCGGAAUUGCUAGUAAUCGCGGAUCAGCAUGCCGCGGUGAAUACGUUCCCGGGCCUUGUACACACCGCCCGUCACACCAUGGGAGCCGGUAAUACCCGAAGUCAGUAGUCCAACCUCGUGAGGACGCUGCCGAAGGUAGGAUUGGCGACUGGGGUGAAGUCGUAACAAGGUAUC
rnacentral:rRNA from 1 species